CAAAUUGAAAGGAAUAAACAACAAAAAGAAAAGGUAAAGUGAGAUAAUAAUAGGAACAAAGACAAAGUACAGGAGAGCCACAAUUGAAUGUGGGAUAAUAAUAGCUGAAAUUGAAUGUGCGAAUGCAAACAAUUUCACAAGAUCCACUUUCUUUAGUUAUUACAGGUGACAUUUACAAUGUCUACUCUUCGUCAAGGGCCGCUACUACUAUAGAAAAAUAUUACAAACCUCAAUCUAGUCAAAUGACUCAAAUUGAAGAAGCAACGACAAGCAGUGCUCCAUUUUCAUCUCCAUCAAACACUAGAAAUCACCAGUUGUAAUUUGUAAACCUUGAACAUGAAGGAGUUGAAGCAAUGGAUAUUCGAAGUGUACCUGAUGUUCUCGAAAAUGCAUAUGUUACUUCUUUAGAAAGGGACCCCGGGUUAUGUAUUCCAACAAUGCAGCAUCCUGUUAAUAAGCGUGAUGAAGUUUCGCGGAGGUUACCUACAAAUAGGGCGCAAUAGAACAAAGCUUACCAAGUAUCCAGCUACUCCAGUGGGAAUUCAAGUCCGUCGAUUUUCUGCCAAGUGGUUUGACGAAUUUCAUUGGGUGGAGUAUUCUUAAGAUAAAGAUGUUGUGUUCUGUUUUUUAUACAAAUGGGGCGCAAUAUGCCAGAGUACACUUGUGAAGGGUUUAGAAAUUGGCAUAAUGUUAAGAAUGGAACCAAGUGUGCAUUUUUAGCUCACAUGGGUAAAAGUAAUUCUGUACACUUUAAAUGUGUAGAGGCUGGUGAGAAUUGAAAGAAUUCAACCAGGCUACUAUGUAUAUAUGUAUACAGUGAUAACUUUUUUUGUAUUGAUGGUGUUCUCUUUAGUAGUUAUAUAAGUAACGGGUUCC